rnacentral:lncRNA from 1 species
GGGAUGGCUCUAACGAAGAAGCAAAAAUGAUAAAGCAGAAUGUUCAAGGCACUAAGAGUCAGAUCUCCCAGCUCUUCUCCAAUUUUGCCUGUGACUAGUCAUCUGUCUUUGGGGCAUCUAACAUUCAUUAUCAAAGGAAAGUUGUGAUGGACUGUCAUUUCCCCAGAGAUCAUUUUUCUGGUUGAGGAUGAGGCAUGAAGUACCAGUGAAGAACUGUCGAAUUCUCCUUUGUGAGAUAUGUCUUGGGUAUUUUAGAUGUGAAGCAUUCCCACGUCUACUUGAGAAGCAACUUCCCAAUUACUAAUAAAACUUGCAGGGAUAUUGAUUGGGAUUUUGAGGAAUUUAUGUAUCUUCUUUACAAUAUUGAAUUCUUCAAUUCAUAAUCAUGUUACAAACUUCCAUUUACUGAAGACAUCUUCACAUUUUCUCAAUAGUGACAGAGCUUCCAGU